CUGUGUUGCUUACCAAUGGAAGGGAAUUUGAUNGAAUUCAUGAANAUAUUCGCCCGGUGCCCUUGCGGUUGUUGGGUGGACGACAAGCUUGCCUCGUGUUCCAAGCAUGCCUUGCUUUGUUGCAUGGCUGUUGUGGCUCAUGGGGUUAAUGCUCGUUCUCUUGGAUGCGGAUUGUGAUGUGUGGGCAAACAAGGGUAAUAACCUCUGUUCGUUCGAAUCACGCAUUUGUCGAACUGACAUGAACGACUGCUGUUCUCGUCUUGGGCUCUAGAGUCUCAUGACUCUAUGAGAUUUCAUGCGAGCAUCGGUGUCGUGAAGGAAUGCUACCUGGUUGAUCCUGCCAGUAGUCAUAUG
rnacentral:misc_RNA from 1 species